rnacentral:tRNA from 1 species
GCUUCGGUGGCGCAGCUGGUUUAGCGCUUUGUGCUUAUAGUAAUGUAACUGUGACAAACAGCACAGUGUCGAUUGAGACGCGACGGUCGUGGGUUCGAUCCCCACUCGAAGCA